rnacentral:siRNA from 1 species
UGUAAAUCUAUUUUCCUGCCA